rnacentral:ncRNA from 1 species
UGUAGAAAAAGGCAAAAUUUCCGAAAGGUUAGGACGCAAAGCUAAAGGGUCUAAUGUUUAUAUAGGUCAUAAGGCCUAUAUGACGAUGAUAGCCUGGCUACCAAA